AAAAAAGCAGGGGUCUGUUGCCUUUGUGGACAGGUCCCUCGUAAGCAUCAGGGAAAUGAAACUUCUUUGUUAUUGGGUGAACCUCUUGAAUUGUACUGAUGGAAGGUUCAGUAAACGAUGGAACAUUA